ensembl:lncRNA
ACUGACAGGAACACUGUGCUCAACAGAAAAGACCCUCAUCAUUGGUGGGAAGCUGAUCUUCAUCAUUUCCCUACAGUCCUGUUUACUGGGCUCACCAGAAGCAGAAGGCACAGGACUGAAUGCAGUCUGUAGUAUGUUGCCACCAAUACUUGAAUAUUGCUAUAGCCACCUCAAUAACUCUCUGAAGCUAUUCAAAUGUCUGUCUGAACGACAGGCUUUUGCACAAGGCAGGACGGAGCACUGCUGGGAUGUGACUUGUUCAGGAACUCAACAACUGAUUAUGUGGCUUUCUAACAAGUUACUGGCUCAAAAAUGUCCAAAGAAGUAUCAACAGGACAGGCUUUAAGUCCUCUAAGACUCUACGAUCUUUGCCAAAGUAGGUCAAAGCGUUGCACAUCAGUUUUAGCAAAACUCCUGGAAGAGUCCUGAAAGAGGUAAAAAAUUAUUGCAUCCAGAGCCGAUGGAGAGCUGCUAAAAGCCAUCUCACCAAGGAUUCCCCUUUGAGAUCCUCAGUAGCUGCUAAGAAGACACCUGCCAAUUCAAAAGGGAGCACUCUGCGUGUUUCUGAAUGAGAUUUAACGUGCAGACUGUCCAUGUUUGUCUCGUUCCUUACAGAAGGUUUGAAAGAGACAACUGAGUCACUGGGAGACACCAGGCAGGGAGCACUAGCUGCAGGAAGCAAUGCCCUCAGUCAGGGCAAUGCAGUAUUUUGUUCCACAGGAUAGGUGCAGUAGCAUAAAAGUAGGGUGGGCUUCUUGAUCAGCACAGUUUGAAGCUUGUUUUGCCAUUAUUUCUGUCUUUCCUCAUUUAUUACCUAAGAAUUCACCUUGCAGAAAGAUGUGGCAAGUAAUGCUGAUGGGCUUCAAACUCUCAUCAGUGCUUCUAUGCUGAACUAGAAGAGGUAUUACAUACAAGUAGAAAUAAAGCACACUCUAAUCAACAGAAACAUACUUUUUAGUGUGAUACUCCAUUUUAAAAAGUUAAUUUUCAAGCAGUUAAAAUGCCUCAAUGAUUGGUAAAACUGGCAGUGAGGUAAUGUGACUUGAUGCUAAAGCAGUGAAAUACUCAGGGCUGUUUGUUAAGCUAAUACACAAAGCUUAUAUAAAACAAAGAACUAGCAUCUCUCAAAAAUAGUGGAGAAUACCUGAGCUAGCAGUACAUGAAGUAACUUAAAAAAGGCCUCAGUGCUGUUACCAACUGAAGAUCAGCAUAAUCCUAAGGCUACAAAAGGCCGCACCUAGGCAAAUACCUCAUCUUUUUGUCUUCUGAGCCUGCAAAUAUUUACAUAUUUUAUGUUAAGUUUUUAGGGGUUUGGUGACUAAAAAUUAAUAGUCAGAGACUACUCACCUGACUGAAGUUAAGCCCCUGACUGUAAUGUUUGAAUCAUCAGGAUUUUUUUUUUUCUUACUGAAAUUGGUAGAGUCAAGUUUUUUGGUGCUUGAAUUGGGAAUCCCAAACCUAUUCCCCACUAAAUUUUAUUACAAGAAUAUUUAAUUCAACUUUUCAGCGCUUGUCAGUGGAUGUGUGCAGAAGUAAAAGUGUCACAGCAAUUUAAAAUGAAGGGAUAAUCCAAGAGAAAAUGCCUAAACAAUUAUAAAAUAGGGAAGCAAACCAAAGACCUCAGAUAAGUGGAGGAAUUAAAGUCUGUUUUUACUAUUCCUGUGAACAAACCUGUAUGUCCUUCAGAAGUGAAAUAACAGUUCAGAAAUAGAUGAUUUUUAUUAGUUUAUGCCCACAAAAAUUAUGUUUACUUCAGCUGUGCUCAUGACCGGUCUGUGCUUGCUUUCAGUCAGCUGUCCAGUUAUACUAUGACUAAUGCAUAUACAAAGCAAAGUUUAAGUUUGCUCAAGCACAGUCCAAUAGAAAAUUUUGGAUUUGCACAAACAAAUAUUUGCUUCCAUGGAAUAUGUUUUAGGUGGGAAGACACAGUGUUGACACAGUAGAAAGGGAGAUGGAAAUGAAGAUACACAAGUCUCAAUUAAAUGAGUUCAAGAAUUCCUCUGUACCCUUCACGACUAGGAAUGAUUAUUUGCCUCCAGUUACUAUAUUAUAACAGCAAAAAUUAUAUGACUGUGCUAAAUACCAACUGGCAUCACAUUCUGCUUUUGUAAAGAAUUCUGUGUUGAACAAAUCUGGUGUUUGAGGGAAAAAAUAAUAAUCCAAAAAUCUACUUAUUUACUC